UACGAAGGGUGCAAGCGUUACUCGGAAUUACUGGGCGUAAAGCGUGCGUAGGCGGUUUGUUAAGUCCGCUGUGAAAGCCCCGGGCUCAACCUGGGAAUUGCAUUCGAGACUGAAUAGCUAGGGUACGGUAGAGGGAAGUGGAAUUUCCGGUGUAGCGGUGAAAUGCGUAGAUAUCGGGAGGAACACCAGUGGCGAAGGCGGCGAUCUGGGAAGAUACUGACGCUGAGGUGCGAAAGCGUGGGGAGCAAACAGG
rnacentral:rRNA from 1 species